GGUUAAGCGACUAAGCGUACACGGUGGAUGCCCUGGCAGUCAGAGGCGAUGAAGGACGUGCUAAUCUGCGAAAAGCGUCGGUAAGGUGAUAUGAACCGUUAUAACCGGCGAUGUCCGAAUGGGGAAACCCAGUGUGUUUCGACACACUAUCAUUAACUGAAUCCAUAGGUUAAUGAGGCGAACCGGGGGAACUGAAACAUCUAAGUACCCCGAGGAAAAGAAAUCAACCGAGAUUCCCCCAGUAGCGGCGAGCGAACGGGGAGGAGCCCAGAGCCUGAAUCAGUGUGUGUGUUAGUGGAAGCGUCUGGAAAGGCGUGCGAUACAGGGUGACAGCCCCGUACACAAAAAUGCACAUGCUGUGAGCUCGAUGAGUAGGGCGGGACACGUGGUAUCCUGUCUGAAUAUGGGGGGACCAUCCUCCAAGGCUAAAUACUCCUGACUGACCGAUAGUGAACCAGUACCGUGAGGGAAAGGCGAAAAGAACCCCGGCGAGGGGAGUGAAAAAGAACCUGAAACCGUGUACGUACAAGCAGUGGGAGCCUCUUUAUGGGGUGACUGCGUACCUUUUGUAUAAUGGGUCAGCGACUUAUAUUCUGUAGCAAGGUUAACCGAAUAGGGGAGCCGGAGGGAAACCGAGUCUUAACUGGGCGUUAAGUUGCAGGGUAUAGACCCGAAACCCGGUGAUCUAGCCAUGGGCAGGUUGAAGGUUGGGUAACACUAACUGGAGGACCGAACCGACUAAUGUUGAAAAAUUAGCGGAUGACUUGUGGCUGGGGGUGAAAGGCCAAUCAAACCGGGAGAUAGCUGGUUCUCCCCGAAAGCUAUUUAGGUAGCGCCUCGUGAAUUCAUCUCCGGGGGUAGAGCACUGUUUCGGCAAGGGGGUCAUCCCGACUUACCAACCCGAUGCAAACUGCGAAUACCGGAGAAUGUUAUCACGGGAGACACACGGCGGGUGCUAACGUCCGUCGUGAAGAGGGAAACAACCCAGACCGCCAGCUAAGGUCCCAAAGUCAUGGUUAAGUGGGAAACGAUGUGGGAAGGCCCAGACAGCCAGGAUGUUGGCUUAGAAGCAGCCAUCAUUUAAAGAAAGCGUAAUAGCUCACUGGUCGAGUCGGCCUGCGCGGAAGAUGUAACGGGGCUAAACCAUGCACCGAAGCUGCGGCAGCGACGCUGAUGCGUUGUUGGGUAGGGGAGCGUUCUGUAAGCCUGUGAAGGUGUGCUGUGAGGCAUGCUGGAGGUAUCAGAAGUGCGAAUGCUGACAUAAGUAACGAUAAAGCGGGUGAAAAGCCCGCUCGCCGGAAGACCAAGGGUUCCUGUCCAACGUUAAUCGGGGCAGGGUGAGUCGACCCCUAAGGCGAGGCCGAAAGGCGUAGUCGAUGGGAAACAGGUUAAUAUUCCUGUACUUGGUGUUACUGCGAAGGGGGGACGGAGAAGGCUAUGUUGGCCGGGCGACGGUUGUCCCGGUUUAAGCGUGUAGGCUGGUUUUCCAGGCAAAUCCGGAGAAUCAAGGCUGAGGCGUGAUGACGAGGCACUACGGUGCUGAAGCAACAAAUGCCCUGCUUCCAGGAAAAGCCUCUAAGCAUCAGGUAACAUCAAAUCGUACCCCAAACCGACACAGGUGGUCAGGUAGAGAAUACCAAGGCGCUUGAGAGAACUCGGGUGAAGGAACUAGGCAAAAUGGUGCCGUAACUUCGGGAGAAGGCACGCUGAUAUGUAGGUGAAGCGACUUGCUCGUGGAGCUGAAAUCAGUCGAAGAUACCAGCUGGCUGCAACUGUUUAUUAAAAACACAGCACUGUGCAAACACGAAAGUGGACGUAUACGGUGUGACGCCUGCCCGGUGCCGGAAGGUUAAUUGAUGGGGUCAGCGCAAGCGAAGCUCUUGAUCGAAGCCCCGGUAAACGGCGGCCGUAACUAUAACGGUCCUAAGGUAGCGAAAUUCCUUGUCGGGUAAGUUCCGACCUGCACGAAUGGCGUAAUGAUGGCCAGGCUGUCUCCACCCGAGACUCAGUGAAAUUGAACUCGCUGUGAAGAUGCAGUGUACCCGCGGCAAGACGGAAAGACCCCGUGAACCUUUACUAUAGCUUGACACUGAACACUGGUCCUUGAUGUGUAGGAUAGGUGGGAGGCUUUGAAGUGUGGACGCCAGUCUGCAUGGAGCCGUCCUUGAAAUACCACCCUUUAAUGGCUGGUGUUCUAACGUAGGUCCCUUAUCGGGGUUGCGGACAGUGUCUGGUGGGUAGUUUGACUGGGGCGGUCUCCUCCUAAAGAGUAACGGAGGAGCACGAAGGUUGGCUAAUCCUGGUCGGACAUCAGGAGGUUAGUGCAAUGGCAUAAGCCAGCUUGACUGCGAGCGUGACGGCGCGAGCAGGUGCGAAAGCAGGUCAUAGUGAUCCGGUGGUUCUGAAUGGAAGGGCCAUCGCUCAACGGAUAAAAGGUACUCCGGGGAUAACAGGCUGAUACCGCCCAAGAGUUCAUAUCGACGGCGGUGUUUGGCACCUCGAUGUCGGCUCAUCACAUCCUGGGGCUGAAGUAGGUCCCAAGGGUAUGGCUGUUCGCCAUUUAAAGUGGUACGCGAGCUGGGUUUAGAACGUCGUGAGACAGUUCGGUCCCUAUCUGCCGUGGGCGCUGGAGAACUGAGGGGGGCUGCUCCUAGUACGAGAGGACCGGAGUGGACGCAUCACUGGUGUUCGGGUUGUCAUGCCAAUGGCACUGCCCGGUAGCUAAAUGCGGAAGAGAUAAGUGCUGAAAGCAUCUAAGCACGAAACUUGCCCCGAGAUGAGUUCUCCCUGACCCUUUAAGGGUCCUGAAGGAACGUUGAAGACGACGACGUUGAUAGGCCGGGUGUGUAAGCGCAGCGAUGCGUUGAGCUAACCGGUACUAAUGAACCGUGAGGCUUAACCUU
rnacentral:rRNA from 1 species